rfam:Pelagibacterium sp. SCN 63-126 ABS74_C0004, whole genome shotgun sequence.
GCGGGUGUGGCGGAACUGGUAGACGCACUGGAUUUAGGUUCCAGCGCCGCAAGGCGUGGAGGUUCGAGUCCUCUCACCCGCA